ensembl:lncRNA
AGAUGACCUAGACCUUGUGUUGGACCCUGGCAGCAUGUCUGGGCUUUGCAGAUCUCCAGAACUUUCUCGCCUUGCAACACUGCAACCCUACAUCCUUGGAACAGCAGAGCUCACUACCCCUCCUCCCAGCAUCUGGAAACCACUGUUCUGCUUUGUCUUUGUGGAUGUGACAACGCCAGCGGGUUCCUCUGGACUCCUUUUGCAGGAGUGUUCCAUUGGGAAUACGUUCUGAUCAUCAAAGGGGAAACUGAAACCAUAGCCUGCGAUGCUAUCACGAAAAGUUAACAAAGGUAUUUCUGACGGAAGAUUUCGGGAAGGACCUGAGGAAUGCCACCGGAAAGUUCCGAGGAACUCAGGCUUCACUGCCUUCGGGGCAAACAGAGGAAGGUUCUCUUCUAGGACCCGAGUCUGGACAUGCAUACCAGAGGGACCUUGGUAUUUUUACCACCUCUAGACAUUCCUGGAUUUUCUCAUAGCGUGUCCUCUUUCUGGCCAACCCCAGGAAAUUAGCACCCAAGAGAGUAUAGACUGGUUCCCGUAAAAUCCGGUUUGGAGCGUAACGUGAAUAAGACGUGAUUCCCCUGCAUGGAAUAAACGCAUCUUCACAUAGGCACCCAGGCUGGUCCUUCGGACACUGCCCAUCUCAGACUGGGUAGUGGGGUAAGAGAGGGCGGAAGACAUUGAUACGAAAGGCAAAAGCCAUUUUGGGAAACAGUGUUUGGCAUGGCCAGAGAGUAGAGACAGAUGAGUUAGAAAUAAUAGGGAAUGAGUUCCCACUGUGGUUCAGUGGGUUAAGAACCCAACAUAGUGUCCUCGAGGUUGUGGGUUCGAUCCCCGGCUUGGCUCAGUGGGUUAAGGAUCCAGUGUUGCCCCAAGCUGUGGCGUAGGUCACAGAUGUGUCUGGAAUCCAACGUUGCCGUGGCUAUGGUGUAAAUUGCAGCUGCUCCUCUGAUUCAACCCCUAGCCUGGGAACCUCCAUGUGCUAUGGAUGUGGCCCUAAAAAGAAAAAUAAAGAAACAAAGGAACAAAAGCAGAGGACGCGUGGAGCCCAGGGAGGAGGGCUAAUACUUUCACGAGGUUAGGAUGUUAAAAUCUGGCUCCUCUGAAUUAUGGGAACACCUUCCCUCUUGCCUCUUCAUGCUGUUUUAACCUUUUAUUUGUAUUAUAAGUAUUUAUAGCUAAGCCUGUGUCUCUUGUAAGAUUCUAAGCAUCUCCCAGGCAAGACCGGCACAAUCCUAGCAUUAACUCGCAUUCCUGUGGCCACUCAUGCUUCUGACCAUUAAAUACACACAAAAGACGGAGCCACAAUAUUAAUUAUGGUUGCUGAUACUCAUGGUCAAGUAAUUAUUGCUGGACACCCUUAGUCAUGAAAAGGGAUUAAGGUUCAAACUGCCUUGGAAAUGUCUCAAAAGAAAAGAAAUUGAAGGGGAUGAAGCUUAUCUUGGAGUCCAGUGCGAUUCAAUUCAUUUCCACUUAAGAAUCCUAUUCUGGGGAGUUCCCAUCGUGGCAAGGCGGAAAUGAAUCCUACUGGGAACCAUGAGGUUUCCAUCCCUGGCCUCACUCAGUGGGUUAAGGAUCCAGCAUGGCCGUGAGCCGUGGUGUAGGUCACAGACGUGGCUUGGACCCGGCAUGGUUGUGGCUGUGGCGUAGGCCGGCAGCUACAGCUCUGAUUUGACCCCUAGCCUGGGAACUUCCAUAUGCCACAGGUGCAACCGUAAAAAAAAAAAAAAAUAAUAAUAAUAAUUUAUCCACAUCAAAAAGGUAUUUGCAUGGGAAUAACAUUAAUACACCCCCAUAUAAAAUAGAUGAUUAGUGAGAACCUAUUGCAUAGCAAGAAAAUCUGCUCAAUAGUUUGUAAUAACUUAUAUGGGAAAAAGAAUGGCUAUAUGUAUGAGCGAUUGUCUUUGCUGGACAGCUGAAACGAAUACAACAUUAUACAUGAGCUAUACUCCAAUAAAAUAAAAGUAAAAAAAAAAA